rnacentral:rRNA from 1 species
ACGAACGCUGGCGGCACGCUUAACACAUGCAAGUCGAACGAGAGAAGAGAAGCUUGCUUUUCUGAUCUAGUGGCGGACGGGUGAGUAACACGUGAGCAAUCUGCCUUUCAGAGGGGGAUACCGAUUGGAAACGAUCGUUAAUACCGCAUAACAUAAUUGAACCGCAUGAUUUGAUUAUCAAAGAUUUAUCGCUGAAAGAUGAGCUCGCGUCUGAUUAGCUAGUUGGUAAGGUAACGGCUUACCAAGGCGACGAUCAGUAGCCGGACUGAGAGGUUGAUCGGCCACAUUGGGACUGAGACACGGCCCAGACUCCUACGGGAGGCAGCAGUGGGGAAUAUUGCACAAUGGAGGAAACUCUGAUGCAGCGAUGCCGCGUGAGGGAAGAAGGUUUUAGGAUUGUAAACCUCUGUCUUCAGGGACGAAAAAAGACGGUACCUGAGGAGGAAGCUCCGGCUAACUACGUGCCAGCAGCCGCGGUAAUACGUAGGGAGCGAGCGUUGUCCGGAAUUACUGGGUGUAAAGGGAGCGUAGGCGGGAUCGCAAGUCAGAUGUGAAAACUAUGGGCUUAACCCAUAAACUGCAUUUGAAACUGUGGUUCUUGAGUGAAGUAGAGGUAAGCGGAAUUCCUAGUGUAGCGGUGAAAUGCGUAGAUAUUAGGAGGAACAUCAGUGGCGAAGGCGGAUUACUGGGCUUUAACUGACGCUGAGGCUCGAAAGCGUGGGGAGCAAACAGGAUUAGAUACCCUGGUAGUCCACGCCGUAAACGAUGAUUACUAGGUGUGGGGGGACUGACCCCUUCCGUGCCGCAGCAAACGCAAUAAGUAAUCCACCUGGGGAGUACGACCGCAAGGUUGAAACUCAAAGGAAUUGACGGGGGCCCGCACAAGCAGUGGAGUAUGUGGAUUAAUUCGAAGCAACGCGAAGAACCUUACCAGGUCUUGACAUCGUAUGCAUAGCUCAGAGAUGAGUGAAAUCUCUUCGGAGACAUAUAGACAGGUGGUGCAUGGUUGUCGUCAGCUCGUGUCGUGAGAUGUUGGGUUAAGUCCCGCAACGAGCGCAACCCUUACUGUUAGUUGCUACGCAAGAGCACUCUAGCAGGACUGCCGUUGACAAAACGGAGGAAGGUGGGGAUGACGUCAAAUCAUCAUGCCCCUUAUGACCUGGGCCUCACACGUACUACAAUGGCUGUUAACAGAGGGAUGCAAAGCCGCGAGGUGGAGCGAACCCCUAAAAGCAGUCUUAGUUCGGAUUGUAGGCUGCAACCCGCCUACAUGAAGUCGGAAUUGCUAGUAAUCGCAGAUCAGCAUGCUGCGGUGAAUACGUUCCCGGGCCUUGUACACACCGCCCGUCACGCCAUGGGAGUCGGUAACACCCGAAGCCUGUAGUCUAACCGCAAGGAGGACGCAGUCGAAGGUGGGAUUGAUGACUGGGGUG